rnacentral:rRNA from 1 species
CAGGAUGAACGCUGGCGGCGUGCCUAAUACAUGCAAGUCGAACGAGGUAGCAAUACCGAGUGGCGAACGGGUGAGUAACACGUAGGUAACCUGCCCUUAAGCUUGGGAUACCCAGAGGAAACUUGGCUAAUACCGGAUAACAACAGAGAAGGCAUCUCUUUGCUUGAAAGGCCCCUUCAAGGGUCACUUAAGGAUGGACCUGCGGCGCAUUAGCUAGUUGGUGAGAUAACAGCCCACCAAGGCGAGGAUGCGUAGCCGAACUGAGAGGUUGAUCGGCCACAUUGGAACUGAGGACACGGUCCAAACUCCUACGGGAGGCAGCAGUAAGGAGUUUUCGGCAAUGGGGGAAACCCUGACCGAGCAACGCCGCGUGAGCGAUGACGGCCCUAUGGGGUUGUAAAGCUCUGUUGUAAGCCAUGAAUGACAGCUUGAGGAAAUGCAAGUUGUUUGACGACAGCUUACCAGAAAGCCACGGCUAACUACGUGCCAGCAGCCGC